rnacentral:rRNA from 1 species
AGUGAACGCUGGCGGUAGGCCUAACACAUGCAAGUCGAACGGCAGCACAGUAAGAGCUUGCUCUUACGGGUGGCGAGUGGCGGACGGGUGAGGAAUACAUCGGAAUCUACUUUUUCGUGGGGGAUAACGUAGGGAAACUUACGCUAAUACCGCAUACGACCUACGGGUGAAAGCAGGGGAUCUUCGGACCUUGCGCGAUUGAAUGAGCCGAUGUCGGAUUAGCUAGUUGGCGGGGUAAAGGCGCACCAAGGCGACGAUCCGUAGCUGGUCUGAGAGGAUGAUCCGCCACACUGUCACUGAGACACGGCCCCGACUCCUACGGUAGGCCGCAGUGGGGAAUAUUGCACAAUGGGCGCAAGCCUGAUCCAGCCAUACCGCGUGGGUGCAGGAGGCCUUCGGGUUGUAAAGCCCUUUUGUUGGGAAAGAAAAGCAGCAGGUUAAUCCCCCGCUGUUCUGACGGUACCCAAAGAAUAAGCACCGGCUAACUUCGUG